CAGUCGCCGCGGGAAUACAGAGGGUGCGAGCGUUAAUCGGAUUUACUGGGCGUAAAGCGUGCGUAGGCGGCUUCUUAAGUCGGAUGUGAAAUCCCUGAGCUUAACUUAGGAAUUGCAUUCGAUACUGGGAAGCUAGAGUAUGGGAGAGGAUGGUAGAAUUCCAGGUGUAGCGGUGAAAUGCGUAGAGAUCUGGAGGAAUACCGGUGGCGAAGGCGGCCCCCUGGACAAAGACUGACGCUCAGGUGCGAAAGCGUGGGGAGCAAACAGGAUUAGAUACCCGAGUAGUCCCUGUCUCUUAUAC
rnacentral:rRNA from 1 species